rfam:Angiostrongylus cantonensis strain Taiwan genome assembly, scaffold: ACAC_scaffold0004474
GCCUCAUUGGCACAGGGGCAGAGGGUCUGUCUAGUAAACAGAAGGUAGCUGAUUCGAUUCCAGCAUGAGGCA